AAUCAUCUCCUCCAAUAACCUGCAGAGUCUCCAAACACGCUUUAAACAGCCUGCAGACCUUGCUGUUUAACUGCGUGUCUGUCGAGUUGAGAGGGUAAUACUCGAUAUGCCUCCCCUGCUUAACGUGAAGAGCAAAGGCUGAACAGAGUCGCCAAUUCUCACCACAGUUUCCUCUCUUUAGAAGCUCUGAUGCUGCAAUAACACUAACGCGCCAAGGGAUAAACGGUACUUUCGGCUUGUUCAGAGCUUUUAAAAUCUGAACCCAAAUGUCAGCAUUUCAGGACUACGUCAUGUGUAUGUGCUGUAUUGUAAGCGACAAGCAUAAUCUCGGGGAUAACUAGAUGGAUAAGCAGAUAGAGGGAGAAAGACAGACAAUGAGCAGAACUCACCGUGAAUUGGAGGGAAGAGAAAGAAGAGAUCCAUAUGCCCUUCCUAAACCACAGGAUAUCCCCUCAGACGUGCUCAGCGCGUCAGUGAUGAGGAUAACAGAGGGGGCAUUAUUUUUGCUCAACAGCUCGGGAAGGUGAUAAAGGGCUCCCAGAUUCCCCCGCAGGAGUGCAGCCGUACGCACACAUCUAUUUAAGUUUUGAUGCAACAUUUCAUCUCCCCAGCUACAAAGGGCCGGAGGGGGGGGCUCUGUCUUUGGACUGUAAAGCAGCACCAUAGCCAACUCAACUAGAGAGUUUGGAGGAAGGUUUCUCAACACACAGCUGCCUGCACACAUCCCAUUUCCUUAUAAAAAUGUCUUCAUAACAUUAUUAGAAAAUGAUGUACCGUAGUUGGAGUCUGGUGAAUACUGAAUGUUAUUGUAGUAUAAAUGUGUCUGCAGUUUUAAUUUCUCUGCUGUACUGUUCUUGUAGCACUGCAGACAUAGUCUUUAAUGUUGAUACAGAACAAAGUGUAUAUACCCUCAGUUGCUUUAAGGCUUUUCUCAUAUCAGUAACAUCAUGUUUACUUUUAAUCCAGUUCUCAAAACUGUAACUCAUUUCCCCACCCACAUUAUCGUUUCUCGUUGUAUUUACACACACUGUUGCUGUAUCAAGGCAUGCUUCACUAAUAAAUGACUUUUUAUCAUUGUGAUGAUACAUCUGACUCCGACGACUCAUCAAAACGGUUUUUCUGCUUUCGUCAGUCAGAGCUACAGAUCUGUCACUUACCAUAAUACCGUACAGCAUCGCAAUAGUGUUUUCAGUCAAAUCACUUCAAACUCGUUUCAGAAUUGUUUUAAAUCAGCCAAACUGAAGGAUUGUUAACAAUGAUCAGCCUGUUUAAGGUCAUGCCACAGGAUCUCAAUCAGAUAUCAUCACUGCUUUAUCUUCAGGGCAGAAACUGAUGGCCGCAACUUCUUCAGGAUUUUCUGGCAGAGAUCAGAACUCAUCGCUCCAGUUAUGGCUGAGCCCCCGAAGCAGAAAAAAACCCCCAGACUAUCAUUCUGCCAACGCCUGAUGCCAACACUGCCAACCUGAAGUAUGAUUGUUGAUGUUUUUAAUGAAAUGCUGUAGUUUUAUACCAGGUAUAAAGGGACUCAAUCCUCAGAAAGAAAACUUUUAUCUCAUCAGUCCUCAGAAUAUUUUCCCAAAAGUCUUAGGGGUCAUCAAGAUGUUUGAGAAAAAAGAGCGUUUUUGAUCAGCAAUGAUUUUUAUCCUGAAACUCAGUCGUUGGAUGCCAUUUUCGGCCAGUCUUAAUGUUGAAUUAUAAACACUAGG